GCCAGCAGCCAUGUCACUCUGCAACUUACGGUUGGCAGCCCACUGAAGCUUAGCAGGUGUGAGCCUGGUCAGUACCUGGAUGGGAAACCUCCUGGGAAAAACUAAAGUUGCUGCUGGAA
rnacentral:rRNA from 1 species